rnacentral:rRNA from 1 species
UACGUAGGGUGCAAGCGUUAUCCGGAAUUAUUGGGCGUAAAGCGUUCGCAGGCGGUUUUGUAAGUUCGCGGUAAAAUCUGGCCGCUCAACGGUCAAUGUGUCGCGAAUACUGCAAAGCUAGAGGAUGGCAGAGGCAACUGGAAUUCUGCGUGUAGGGGUAAAAUCCGUUGAUACGCAGAGGAACUCCAAAAGCGAAGGCAGGUUGCUGGGCCAUUUCUGACGCUGUUGAACGAAAGCGUGGGUAG